rnacentral:rRNA from 1 species
GGGGAAUCUUGCACAAUGGGGGAAACCCUGAUGCAGCGACGCCGCGUGAACGAUGAAGCCCUUCGGGGUGUAAAGUUCUUUCGACAGGAACGAUAAUGACGGUACCUGGAGAAGAAGCUGCGGCUAACUACGUGCCAGCAGCCGCGGUAAUACGUAGGCAGCGAGCGUUAUCCGGAUUUACUGGGUUUAAAGGGUGCGUAGGCGGGCUAUUAAGUCAGAGGUGAAAUCUCCGGGCUCAACCUGGAAACUGCCUUUGAUACUAUUAGCCUUGAAUUAUGUUGAGGUUGGCGGAAUAUAGCAUGUAGCGGUGAAAUGCUUAGAUAUGUUAUGGAACACCGAUUGCGAAGGCAGCUGGCUAAACAUAUAUUGACGCUGAUGCACGAAAGCGUGGGUAGCGAACA